AGUUCUUUCAGCUUAAUAAAAACCCUAAUUGAGGAGUCUCUAGCUGCUUGCUCACACCUGCUUUUACUCUAACCUGGACAACUCACAGUCAAGACCUUCCGUCCGGUAACAAAGCAACAGACCUCAGUCAUGUCAUCUGCUUACAAAGGAGCCACGAAUCAAGACCGAUUCCGUGUGCUCUUGACGAUUCUGUUACACUCCUGCAGGGUAUCGCUCUGCCUCCCAGGCUGGAGUGCAGUGGCACAAUCACAGCUCACUGCAGCCUCGACCUUCUCGGCUCAAGCAAUCCUCCUACCUCAGCCUCCUGAGUAGCUGGGAUUGCAGGCAUUCAUCACCACACCCAGAAAUCCAUUGCUUGCUAAUGUUUGUUUGUUUGUUUUUGGAGCUGGUGUCUGGAGCUGGUUCUCCACCUGUUGUGAGUUCCUGGAAAGAUCUCAAGACCUAUCCCAUUUUCCUCCUAGUGAAGGUUGAUAUUCAUAAUAGUUGACACUCAGUACAGCACAGACACCGACCAAUUCAAACUGACAGAGGUCUUAAGCAAUUUUCAUGACAAUAUUGGUGUAUAGAGCUGAAUAUUUGUUCUACACAUAGAAGGCAUCCAAUAAAAAAUUUUGAAUUGAAUUUUAUUGGUUUAGUAGUCCUGGCUGUGGUAUCUAAUGGCCUUCUUUCAGAAGUCAGGCAGCUUUUAAUUUUUUUGUCCAAAUAUGAUCAUAAUGAUUUCUUUUCCU
rnacentral:lncRNA from 10 species